AAGGAAUAUUGCUCAAUGGGAGAAAUCCUGAAGCAGCAAUGCCGCGUGGAGGAUGAAGGGUCUAUGACUUGUAAACUCCUGUAAAGAAGGAAAAAAUUCCCAUUUGAUGGGAGAUGAUGGUACUUCUGGAGUAAGCCCCGGCUAACUACGUGCCAGCAGCCGCGGUAAUACGUAGGGGGCAAGCGUUGUCCGGAUUUACUGGGUGUAAAGGGUGCUCAGGCGGAUUUGUAAGUCAGAGGUGAAAUCUUACAGCUUAACUGUGAAACUGCCUUUGAUACUGCAAGCCUAGAGUAUGGAAGAGAGUGAUGGAAUAUCUGGUGUAGCAGUGAAAUGCGUAGAUAUCAGAUAGAACACCAAUGGCGAAGGCAGUCACUUGGUCCAUUACUGACGCUAAAGCACGAAAGCGUGGGUAGCAAACA
rnacentral:rRNA from 1 species